GUCCGGGCACUUGGUGCUUGGGUGGCGCAGCUACGCAUAAAAUUAUCCGCCUGGGGAGUACGGUCGCAAGAUUAAAACUCAAAGGAAUUGACGGGGGCCUGCACAACCGGUGGAGCAUGUGGUUUAAUUCCAAGCACCGCGCAAAACCUUACCAGCGUUUGACAUGUCCGGACGAUUUCCAGAGAUGGAUCUCUUCCCUUCGGGGACUGGAACACAGGUGCUGCAUGGCUGUCGUCAGCUUGUGUCGUGAGAUGUUGGGUUAAGUCCCGCAACGAGCGCAACCCUCGCCUUUAGUUACCAUCAUUUAGUUGGGGACUAUAAAGGAACCGCCGGGGAUAAGCCGGAGGAAGGUGGGGAUGACGUCAAGUCCUCAUGGCCCUUACACG
rnacentral:rRNA from 1 species